AAAACGAUACGGCCAAGAAGCCAAGCAAGAAAGUCAAACCAGUCUCUGUUGGAAAAGCGCAAUCUCCUAAGAGAAACGGAGAGUUCUUAAGCGUUUCGGUUUUGGAAAGGACCCUCAGAUUUCUCCAUCGCAGCAGAGCCUGGAAUUAGCCCUGGAGGAACAGAGAUGAUACAUAAUGCGAUAUGCUCCCAUUGGGGCCUGGAAUCUGAUUGCAACAUCCAGAAAUAUCUGCGUGAUCGAUUGGAGUGACUGGAUUCAACAGAGCAACAGCAGUCGGGUCCCCACCGUCUCCUAUCGGCUGACCUACACAACUGCCGAUCCGGAGUCUCCGAGGAACCAAAGUGUCCCGGUCCCUCUCUCCUACACCCUUCUAGAGCACCCCCCAUGCUUGAAGGAAACACUUCACUUGGAUUUGCUUCUGAGCGAAACGCAGGCAGGAGCCAGGGGGAUACCGAAAGCUCUGCGAAGCAAAUGACGAAUGUUGGGGUCCCUCGCCAAACCUACAUCAGAGUCCUUUCAACUCUGAACCUGGUAAAAGGAUUAGCCCUCUGCCGUCCACAAGGGCGCGUGAAAGCCGGUCUGUCUGUUAAAAGACUCUUGCGUGCACACCCCAGUCCGGGCAUCAAACCCUCCCUGCCCUUUGAUAAAGCCAGACCUCCUUCUAUGGAUGUGCGGCCAGGGAAUAACGAACACCUGCUAAGAGAAUAAGAGACGCUGGGGGCGGGGGCGGGCAGCGAGGCUAGACAGGACCACUUUCCAUUGUACAUCAUCCGUACGGCUGGUAGAGAAUGAAUUAUUUCUUCCCAAUUCGGCGCCAUCAUCCAUCACCGUCAAUUUGCGGCCCAUCUGGAAGGUUUCAGAAGCCCCGGAAUGGGCUCAAGAGUUAUAAAACAGCCACGGCGGCAAGCCUUUCUAAACGGAUUACAGUAAAUACAAACACGAAGAAACAGGGUGCGUGUUUCGGGGCGUUUACGCUGUUCCACGUCCCGGGCUCGAGCUCCCUCAUUUCAUCCCCUCAACGAACCUACGAGGCGGGAACAAGAACCGUUCCCAUUGUGCAGAUGAGAAAACCGAGGCCCACGGAGGUCCACGCCGUUCUCUGGUCACCCAGGUAGGAGGUGGCACAGCUGGGGCACGGGGCUGGGUGGUACGGACCCGGGACACUGUGUCCUGCUCAUGAUGUGAAAGCGAUGGGCUCAGGAGGCCCUAACUUCCCUGUCUACGCUCUCUCGGCCUGAAUCCUACCUCGUUCAGUCACUCCCUUGGGACCCUCCGUCUUAAGCUUUAUUCUUACAGCUGAGCCUAGAAGGGGCGGGGAAGAUGCACGAGAGACUCGAGGACCAAAGAAAUCGCGUGUUUUCUGUGUGUUGAAUUCAGUUCUCCCCAGUUGCCGGCAAAGGGGACCCACUGGAGAGCGUCCAUAUUAGCACAGAAGGCCCAGAAGAAACGGCACAGAGCUCUUGGCCUGGGUUAACUGACCGGGACCUGCUGGAGGGAACGUGCUCAUUCUACAAACAGCCAUCAGUGCCCCCUCGAGCCUGGUCACGUGGGAGGGAGCGACAGCACACACAGGGACACAGUCCCUGCCUUCCCGGAGCUGCGUGCUACUGGAGGCAUGGCUCGAAGAACAAUGUGAUGAGCGUAAUCAAGGCGACGUACGGAAUGCCACCCACCGAGCACAGAAAGAGGGAAUCGGAGCAGAUCUCGAAGAAGGAAGAGUCACCGAAAACCAACACGACAGUGGCUUCAACAAGGUAGGAGUUUAUUUCUCUAGCAUCUAACAGAAGUCGGAAGGUAACAGUUCAAAGCU